rnacentral:rRNA from 1 species
ACGUGUUUUAUAAUCGAUAAUCCACGAUUAAUUCAACUUUAUUUUUAAAUUUAUAUAUCGUCGUAAUUUGAAUAUUUUAUUAUAAUAUUUUCAGAUCAAGGUGUAGUUUAUAAUAAAGAAAAAAUGGGUUACAAUAAAAAUAUAAUUGAAAGUGGAUUUGAAAGUAAGCUCUAAAAUAUGUACAUAUUGCCCGUCGCUUUCAUUUUAAAAUGAAAUAAGUCGUAACAAAGUAGGUUUAUUGGAAAAUGAUCCUAGAGUCAAAUUAGAGCUUGAUAAGCAUUUUAUUUACAUUAAAAAGUUAAUUGUUUAAUUCAAUUUAAUUUGAAUAUAAAAUUUUAUUUAAAAUUUUUGUUUAUAUUUUAUAUAAAAAUAUUUUUAAUUUUUAUUAAUUUAAUGAAAAAAUUUAAUUAUAGUUUAUAGUACUGUGAAGAAAUUUUUUAUAUAUAAAUAAGAAGAAUUUAUUUUUUGUACCUUGUGUAUCAGGGUUAAUUAAUUUGAUUUUCUCGAAUUUAAAAGAGCUAAUUUUAUUGUAAAAUAAAUAUUUAAAAUUUAUAGUUAGUAAUGAAAUGUUAUUCGUUUUUAAUUUUAUCUAGUUUUUUAAGAAAUAAAUUUAAUUUAUUUAUUAAUUAUUAUUAUUAUAAGGGAUAAGCUUUAUUAUAAAUUUUUAUAAAUAUUUAAUUAUUAAUAAAUUAUAGAAUUAGAAUUUUUCAUUAAUAAAAGAAUGUUAUAAUUAAUUAUUUUAAAUUUUUAUUAAAAUUAUAUUUAAAAUUUUAAUUGAUAUGAAAUAAUGAUUAAAUUAGUAUAUUUAUUAUAAGGAAUUCGGCAAAAAUUUUUUUACCUGUUUAUUAAAAACAUGGCUUUUUGUUAAUAAUUUAAAGUCUUACCUGCCCAGUGAUUUAACGGCUGCAGUAUUUUGACUGUACAAAGGUAGCAUAAUCAUUAGUUUUUUAAUUGAAAGCUGGAAUGAAUGGUUUGAUAAAAAAAAAUCUGUCUUUAGAAUUUUAUUUUUAAGUUAAAAAGCUUAAAUUUUAUAAAUAGACGAGAAGACCCUAUAGAGUUUUUUUAUUGGGGUGAUAUAAAAAUUAAAAAAACUUUUUAUUUUUAUGAAUAAUUGAUCCUAGAUUAUAAGAAAAAAUUACCUUAGGGAUAACAGCGUAAUUUUUC